rnacentral:rRNA from 1 species
UACAUGGGGUGCAAACGUUGCUCGGAAUUAUUGGGCGUAAAGCGCACGUAGGCGGUCGCUUAAGUCGGAUGUGAAAGCCCUCGGCUCAACUGAGGAAGUGCAUCCGAAACUGAGUGGCUAGAGUAUGGUAGAGGGUCGCGAAAUUCCCGGUGUAGAGGUGAAAUUCGUAGAUAUCGGGAGGAACACCAGUGGCGAAGGCGGCGACCUGGGCCAAUACUGACGCUGAGGUGCGAAAGCGUGGGGAGCAAACAGG